ACAAAGCACCAUGUCAUUUCUCAUAUUGCUGUGCCUAGAAGGAUAGAAGUAUGACAAAAGCCAAAGUACUGCUCGUAAUCUUCCUGGUGGCUGCUAUCGUGGUUAUAUCGGAGGCUACCUUAAAGAUGGCAAAGUGUUUCGGUCAUUGUGGAAGGUCCGGCACAAUGUGCUCUACUGGAUGCAAAUGUACCAUGAAUGCGAGGUCUCAAAUGACAAGAGAAGGCACGUGUCAGCCAAUUACCCGAAGUAGAAGCCGGAGCCGAAGCAGAAGCAGAACCCGAAACUGAGUCAAAUAAAAUCAUAAAGUGUCAAA